AUUGAACGCUGGCGGCAGGCCUAACACAUGCAAGUCGAGCGGAUGAAGAGAGCUUGCUCUCUGAUUUAGCGGCGGACGGGUGAGUAAUGCCUAGGAAUCUGCCUGGUAGUGGGGGAUAACGUCCGGAAACGGGCGCUAAUACCGCAUACGUCCUACGGGAGAAAGCAGGGGACCUUCGGGCCUUGCGCUAUCAGAUGAGCCUAGGUCGGAUUAGCUAGUUGGUGAGGUAAUGGCUCACCAAGGCGACGAUCCGUAACUGGUCUGAGAGGAUGAUCAGACACACUGGAACUGAGACACGGUCCAGACUCCUACGGGAGGCAGCAGUGGGGAAUAUUGGACAAUGGGCGAAAGCCUGAUCCAGCCAUGCCGCGUGUGUGAAGAAGGUCUUCGGAUUGUAAAGCACUUUAAGUUGGGAGGAAGGGCAGUAAAUUAAUACUUUGCUGUUUUGACGUUACCGACAGAAUAAGCACCGGCUAACUUCGUGCCAGCAGCCGCCGUAAAAC
rnacentral:rRNA from 1 species